GAAGUGACGUGUUGUUUUUGGGAAAGUUACACCCACUGUUCGACUUUAUCCAUGAGCUCUACCGUUCAGAAACUCCUGAGGUCUCUAUGAUCCCUGCAGAACUGUGCCAUGGACUCCAAGGUACAUUAAAUCUUGAUGACAACCCUGUUCUACCAGAUAAGAUGGUAAUGUCACCGAUUCCAACGCUGCGAGACAUUUC